GGCUCCUUGGCCCACUUACUGGUGGAAUCGUAAACCUCUCCUGUGAUGAGCUCCAAUUCGAUGUAGACGCAGUGUGCAGUGAGCCAAUCGCCAUCAGCCUGCCAACCACCACCUUUAUCGCAACGUGCUUGAAUUCAAGUCGUGUCAUUUGCAUCAACAACACACCAUUGGACGAGCCGGUAAUAGUUGGACUCUUGAAAACAUUGGCGUGCCUGGUGAGGUACGUUCUCGACACCGCACCGAGCGAAAUUGUAAAGCAACUGGGUUGUGAUUUGGUCGGCAUUGUUUACUCGAUCCGUGGCAGCGGAAGUGCUACGGCUGUUUCACCGUUGAUCUGCGGCUUGGAAAGACUACUAAACAUCGAGUGCUCUGUUGUCCAAUGUUAGAACGAAGGCUCCACUCUUUACUUGCUCAUCUAAAUUUAAUACUAUCUAUAUCUGCAGUUCACAACUAAACAACUUUAGUGGAAUUAAUUGAAGAUUGGUGAAAUAUUACCUUGUUCUCCUUUUGCCCAGAUAUUUUCUAGAAAAGCGAAGCCCAGCACUCCCUGGCUAACCUUUGAAAUCAAACCACAUCAUUUUUUCUCGAAUGAGGCCCCAUUGCAGAUCGGUGGCAGAUUAGGUUAUUAUGCUUCCGCGUUCACUUGUUCUAGCCAAGCGAAGUGCAGUAACCCAUGACAAGACUUCUAAAUCAAUGCAGCAUAACCUUUCUCGGUCGAUGUAUGCAGUAAAGCAUUCAUUCAGCUGAAAUAUUAACUUUAUCGCAGCUAUAUUUCGCUAUUUAGCUACUAAACUAGCUAAUGAAAUUUUGAGUUCACACAUUUCCAGAUGCCGUCAAAUAUCGAUGCCUACAAUUCCUGCCCCACAGUUGCGUAUAUGUCAUAAAGGUUCUUGCCUUUUAAAGAGCAUAAAUAGAUGUUUUCGAUUCGAAAAAAAGGUGUAAAUGCUAACUUACGAGAGCUUCAAUGGCAUAUUAAUUACUCAGUCAACACCGAAACAUCUUCGUUGGCUG